UAGGGAAUCUUCGGCAAUGGACGAAAGUCUGAUCGAGCAACGCCGCGUGAGUGAAGAAGGUUUUCGGAUCGUAAAACUCUGUUGUUAGAGAAGAACAAGGACGUUAGUAACUGAACGUCCCCUGACGGUAUCUAACCAGAAAGCCACGGCUAACUACGUGCCAGCAGCCGCGGUAAUACGUAGGUGGCAAGCGUUGUCCGGAUUUAUUGGGCGUAAAGCGAGCGCAGGCGGUUUCUUAAGUCUGAUGUGAAAGCCCCCGGCUCAACCGGGGAGGGUCAUUGGAAACUGGGAGACUUGAGUGCAGAAGAGGAGAGUGGAAUUCCAUGUGUAGCGGUGAAAUGCGUAGAUAUAUGGAGGAACACCAGUGGCGAAGGCGGCUCUCUGGUCUGUAACUGACGCUGAGGCUCGAAAGCGUGGGGAGCAAACAGG
rnacentral:rRNA from 2 species